rnacentral:tRNA from 1 species
GGUGAGGUGGCUGAGUGGUCGAAAGCAGAGCUUUGCUAAAGCUCCGUAGCCCUUAAAAGCUACCGAGGGUUCGAAUCCCUCCCUCACCGCCA